AGCAGCAGCGAGUCGUCUGCAGCGAUCAGGCUGUGUGGUGUUCUGGAUGUUCCUGCUCGAUGUGUUCGUUUUAACCUCCUGGCAGAUCCUGGACCCCCUCAGACGGGUGGUGCUGCAGCACGACUUAGAGAGUGACCUGCUGAUCCGGACGUGAAGGUCCGGCUGUCCUCUGAACACUGCAGCAGCACCAACAUGGAGCUGUGGCUCACCGCUGUGUACGGAUACAAAGUCCUCUGCUGGGUCUCGGGUGUUUCAUGGCCUGGAACAUCUGGACUGUGCGGACGAUCAUCCCGCUGUCGGCAGUAAACACCUGGCGCUGAGUAUGUUCGCUGUGACGGUGUUCCAGUGUGUCA